rnacentral:rRNA from 1 species
AAAGCACUUUCAGUCGUGAGGAAGGUAGUGUAGUUAAUAGCUGCAUUAUUUGACGUUUAGCGACAGAAGAAGCACCGGCUAACUCCGUGCCAGCAGCCGCGGUAAUACGGAGGGUGCGAGCGUUAAUCGGAAUUACUGGGCGUAAAGCGCAUGCAGGUGGUUUGUUAAGUUCAGAUGUGAAAGACCCGGGGCUCAACCUCGGAAUAGCAUUUGAAACUAGGCAGACUAGAGUACUGUAGAGGGGGGUAGGAAGUUUCAGGUGUAGCGGUGAAAUAGCGUAGAGAUCUGAAGGAAUACCGGUGGCGAAGGCGGCCCCCUCGGACAGAUACUGACACUCAGAUGCGAAAGCGUGGGGAGCAAACAGGAUUAGAUACCCUGGUAG